GACGAACGCUGGCGGCGUGCUUAACACAUGCAAGUCGUACGGUAAGGCCCUUUCGGGGGUACACGAGUGGCGAACGGGUGAGUAACACGUGAGUAACCUGCCCACAACUUUGGGAUAACGCUAGGAAACUGGUGCUAAUACUGGAUAUGUGCUCCUGCUGCCUGGUGGGGGUUGGAAAGCUCCGGCGGUUGUGGAUGGACUCGCGGCCUAUCAGCUUGUUGGUGGGGUAGUGGCCUACCCAGGCGGCGACGGGUAGCCGGCCGGAGAGGGUGGCCGGCCACAUUGGGACUGAGAUACGGCCCAGACUCCUACGGGAGGCAGCAGUGGGGAAUAUUGCACAAUGGGCGCAAGCCUGAUGCAGCAACGCCGCGGGCGGGAUGACGGCCUUCGGGUUGUAAACCGCUUUCAGCAGGGACGAAGCUUUUUGUGACGGUACCUGCAGAAGAAGCACCGGCUAACUACGUG
rnacentral:rRNA from 1 species